AGCGAACGCUGGCGGCAGGCUUAACACAUGCAAGUCGAACGGGCGUAGCAAUACGUCAGUGGCAGACGGGUGAGUAACGCGUGGGAACGUACCUUUUGGUUCGGAACAACCCAGGGAAACUUGGGCUAAUACCGGAUAAGCCCUUACGGGGAAAGAUUUAUCGCCGAAAGAUCGGCCCGCGUCUGAUUAGCUAGUUGGUGUGGUAACGGCGCACCAAGGCGACGAUCAGUAGCUGGUCUGAGAGGAUGAUCAGCCACAUUGGGACUGAGACACGGCCCAAACUCCUACGGGAGGCAGCAGUGGGGAAUAUUGGACAAUGGGCGCAAGCCUGAUCCAGCCAUGCCGCGUGAGUGAUGAAGGCCCUAGGGUUGUAAAGCUCUUUUGUGCGGGAAGAUAAUGACGGUACCGCAAGAAUAAGCCCCGGCUAACUUCGUGCCAGCAGCCGCUGU
rnacentral:rRNA from 1 species